rnacentral:tRNA from 1 species
UAUGAUGUUUGAAUUAUUUAGCUUCAAGCCAUAAUCCUGUCACCUUAGGUCGAUCGGUACCUCAGUUUGAUAAUUUAAAACUAUUAAAUUCAGUUCCUAAACUUUGUCUAGGUCACACCCAGCAAGGGUACUCCUGGGCCAUUAGCUCAGGUGGUUAGAGCGCACCCCUGAUAAGGGUGAGGUCCCUGGUUCAAGUCCAGGAUGGCCCAUUCGGUGUUGGGGGUAUAGCUCAGUUGGUAGAGCGCCUGCUUUGCAAGCAGGAUGUCAGCGGUUCGAGUCCGCUUACCUCCACUGAUCGACCUUCUGAAAUCGAAGCUUAUGGAGAUCUUUCCUUCGAUGUGAUCUAGAAUUUGUUCCUGAAUACUUUGAACCCAGCUUCUUAUCAUUCCAUCUAGCCAAAUUAUUACUUUGGUUUGGUUGAUACGACGCUGGGCUCUCCUGCAAUUUAAUUUGCGGAGAAGUUCAGUAGAACCUUGAAAACUGCAUAGGUGAGUCUGGAAAAAAUAAAGCAUCUCAUAGAUGAAUUAUUUUUCAGAACACAUUAGAUAGGUGUUUCGAUUAAAUCAAAACAUUAUUAGAUGUGUUUGAAAUAAUAAUUUUAAUUCUUGGAGCAAGAGCCGAGACUUUAUGACG